AAUGCCUCUGGAAACUGGAGUCAGGUUUCCCAGCACCUUCACAGACAGGAGUGAGCUCAGUUGGGUAUUCUGAAUAAGGACCACCAAAUUCUCUGCCUUAGUGGCCCUCAUCUUCCCAAGGAAGAGCCACAAGGAGCCAGGAAUGAGGAUGUGCCCAGGUGACACUGAGUGGUUCUGCUUGAAAGGAAGGAACAAAGAACUGGAAUAAUCUGCCAGGCCAGGGAGUGAGCUGGGGUGGCCCUUGAGGUGUUGUGGGGUCCUCAGGAUGAGGUUCCCUGCAAAUUCCACAUGCAUUCCUCUCUCCAAGUGGUGCCUGCAGCACAAAUCCAGCAAAUCCAGGCUGCUGCUUCCAUCUGCUGCCCGUAGUGUUUAUUGCAAGCCUCUCUCUGUCUGGGAGGCAGCAGCAGCAGCUUGAAACAACCUUCAGAGAUGCUCUGCACAAAGGAGAACUUAAACAGAAGUUACUCUAUGGAUGCGAUGCCUCAGGUUUCAGCUUUUCUAUUUUUCAGGUUCUGUGAUGCCUUGAGAAUAGCAAACAGAAC